CUCCAGAUGUUGCUGAACUACAACUCCCAUGAUUCUAUGAAUGAAUUAGAUAGGCUGAGAAUCAUGGGAGUUGUAGUUCAGCAACAUCUGGAG
rnacentral:miRNA from 1 species